rnacentral:ncRNA from 1 species
UAAAUAGUAAUGACGGAAAAAAGUAGGUCUAUGGGCACUAGACAGAGAGCCGGUGGUUGGUGCGAAUCGGUUGGUGACAUAUGCUGAAGUACCUUCCUGAACUGCGAGGCUGAACGGUAGUAGGCCGGGCCGGGGUGGCAUUCGUUACUGUGCUAUGAGUUGAUCUGAUUCGAGAUUAUGAGGGUGGUACCGCGGAACUUUCCGUCCCUUGC